AUUGAACGCUGGCGGCAGGCCUAACACAUGCAAGUCGAACGAGUGGCGGACGGGUGAGUAAUGUCUGGGAAACUGCCUGAUGGAGGGGGAUAACUACUGUAAACGGUAGCUAAUACCGCAUACCAUCUGAUGUUCCCAGAUGGGAUUAGCUAGUAGGUGGGGUAAAGGCUAACCUAGGCGACGAUCCCUAGCUGGUCUGAGAGGAUGACCAUCCACACUGGAACGUAGCCACGGUCCAGACUCUUACGGGAGGCAGCAGUGGGGAAUAUUGCACAAUGGGCGCAAGCCUUGUGCAGCCAUGCCGCGUGUAUGAAGAAGGCCUUAGGGUUGUAAAGUACUUUCAGAGGGGAGGCGUUACCCGCAGAAGAAGCACCGGCUAACUCCGUGCCAGCAGCCGCGGUAAUUC
rnacentral:rRNA from 1 species